AGUAAAUCAAUGACGUUGAUAUAUAAGGGUGAUUUUAACUAAAAUUGUAUAUACAUAUGUAUAUUAUCUAAUAAAUAAAUGAUAUGCUCGAGGGGCUUCUUACUCCCAACCUUAUAUUCAACAGCAACGCCACAAGGCAAACGUGGUAAAAACAGAACGGUUGAUUGCAACUUUAACUACUAAAAUUUAAAAUAUAUUGAAAGUUGACUCUGGCAAUCACAAUGUAGUAUCGGACUGAAGUUGCUUUGUAGAGAUAUCAACAGCUGCUUAUCACAAACGCUACGAAAUACAGACA